AUUCCAGCUCCAAUAGCGUAUAUUAAAGUUGUUGCAGUUAAAAAGCUCGUAGUUGGAUGUUGUGGUUUGUUGAUUUCGGUGCCUUUUGGUAUCCGUGUCAACAGCUACUUUUUCCCGAGGCAUAUAGGUGUACUUAACCGUGUGUUUAUAUUGUUCGGGACUUUUACCGUGAGAAAAUUAGAGUGUUCAUAGCAGGCAAGUGCUUGAAUAUUACAGCAUGGAAUAAUGGAAUAGGAUCAUGAUCUUAUUUUGUUGGUUUCUAAGAUCAAGAUAAUGAUUAAUAGGGAUAGUUGGGGGCAUUAAUAUUUAGUUGUCAGAGGUGAAAUUCUUAGAUUUACAAAAGAUUAACUUCUGCGAAAGCAUUUGCCAAGGAUGUUUUCAUUA
rnacentral:rRNA from 1 species